UACGUAGGGUGCGAGCGUUGUCCGGAAUUAUUGGGCGUAAAGAGCUUGUAGGCGGUUUGUCGCGUCUGCUGUGAAAAUCCGGGGCUCAACCCGGACUUGCAGUGGGUACGGGCAGACUAGAGUGUGGUAGGGGAGACUGGAAUUCCUGGUGUAGCGGUGAAAUGCGCAGAUAUCAGGAGGAACACCGGUGGCGAAGGCGGGUCUCUGGGCCGAUACUGACGCUGAGGAGCGAAAGCGUGGGGAGCAAACAGG
rnacentral:rRNA from 1 species